rnacentral:rRNA from 1 species
UACGUAGGUGGCAAGCGUUGUCCGGAUUUAUUGGGCGUAAAGCGCGCGCAGUCGGUCUUUUCAGUCUGAUGUGAAAUCUUGCGGCUCAACCGCAAGCGGUCAUUGGAAACUGGGGGACUUGAGUACAGAAGAGGAAAGCGGAAUUCCACGUGUAGCGGUGAAAUGCGUAGAGAUGUGGAGGAACACCAGUGGCGAAGGCGGCUUUCUGGUCUGUAACUGACGCUGAGGCGCGAAAGCGUGGGGAGCAAACAGG